rnacentral:misc_RNA from 1 species
AAGUCGUAACAAGGUUUCCGUAGGUGAACCUGCGGAAGGAUCAUUAAUGAAUAAACUUGGCAUGCUGAUGCUGACCUCUCGGGGUAUGUGCACGCUUGUCAUCUUUAUAUCUCCACCUGUGCACUUCUGUGGGACUGGAAGCAGAGCGAUGAGCUUGCCUCUUUAAUCUGUACUCUCAGUUCUACGUUUUUUUCAUACCCACCUUUGAAUGUAAAUGAAUGAUCACUAGGUUGUUGAACCUAUAAUAAAGUUAUACAACUUUCAGCAACGGAUCUCUUGGUUCUC